AUUGAACGCUGGCGGCAGGCCUAACACAUGCAAGUCGAGCGAGCGGCGGACGGGUGAGUAAUGUCUGGGAAACUGCCUGAUGGAGGGGGAUAACUACUGGAAACGGUAGCUAAUACCGCAUACCAUCAGAUGUGCCCAGGUGGGAUUAGCUAGUAGGUGGGGUAACGGCUCACCUAGGCGACGAUCCCUAGCUGGUCUGAGAGGAUUACCAGCAACAAUGGAACGUAUACACGGUCCAGACUCCUACGGGAGGCAGCAGGGGGGAAUAUUGCACAAUGGGCGCAAUCCUGAUGCAGCCAUGCCGCGUGUGUGAAGAAGGCCUUCGGGUUGUAAAGCACUUUCAGCGGGGAGGCGUUACCCGCAGAAGAAGCACCGGCUAACUCCGGGCCAGCAGCCGCGGUAAUAC
rnacentral:rRNA from 1 species